rnacentral:lncRNA from 1 species
GCAAACCUCUCCCCCGCUUUCUCUGCUGAGGAGGGAAAAGGGGAUGUGCAGUAAAAUUCCGUCUCUGGGACAGGUGCCAGCUCCUAGACAAAAGAAGUAAAAUAGGCGGUAAAGAGGGGAGGGGGGGAAAUUAAUAGCCAACAAAAAUAGGAAUCGAAAAUCUCGGAGAGGCAGCGCUGGUGAAAGUGAUGUUGCCUAACUCGCCAUUUUUUUUCUCCCCUGAAUAUUUGCUUAGCCAUGGGUUGAAAGGAGAAAGUUGAGGCAUACUUUUUAUUCAUGUCUUCUCUGCAGACAUUUGAAAGCGUAAAGGGAGGGUGGAGGAUGUCUUUUUUUCUCUCUCUCUCUCUCCCUCCUCUCUCUCUCUCUCUCUCYCUCCCUCUCCUGAAUUAUUCAUAGUGUCAGUGGUGAAGCCAGGACUAUUAGCAUGCAUCAGACAUGCUGUUUGUCUGUUUGCUAACAUUCUUCAUUCAAGACUUGUUAACUACCAGACAAGCUUAACACGCUUCUCUUUUUCCCCUCCCCUUCCCUCUCCCUGUGUCUCUGUCACUGCGCGCCUGCCUCCCCUCAUUUCUGCCUUCCCUUGCCUUGCCUUUCAUGCCACCCCUCUCAGCCUCCCAUUGUUGUUGCCGAGAGCUGGCAGCCAGGGGUGGCGGUGGCAGGGGAAGCAUGCGGACGAGGAGCCGGAGCCCGGUUGCUAGAGCGGCUGGCGCCCGGGUGUUGCAUUUAUUAAGGAAGCAGCAGCAGCACGUUGUCAGCCCGCUGAGGCUGGGGCCGAUCGCUCGCCGCAUACUAGCCUGGAUGCAAUCUCCCUGUAAGGAGUGUGAAAUGUACAGCUGCAAAACUACAGUUUUAAGCAAAAAAAAAAGCUCUUCCUCAUCUGAACCAUCAUUCAAAACACAAGAUGAAAGUAGCUGA